AAACUGCUUUUGCUCUCCAGGCUGCUCUGCUCUCUCUUUGCAGCCUGAUGCUGGGAUCGUGGUUGAAAAAUCACCCCAGCUGGCUCAAAACUAUUUAACAGUUCACAGCAAGACAACGCUUUUCUGUGCUUUGCCUUACACAAGUACUGUGUCCAUUUGAACCUGCCUGUAGAGUCUUAGCGGAGAGAAACUAAUUGGUCAGCUCUGUAUCUAAGCAGGGUAACAGCUGAAUAUUUUUGCAGACUGUGUCAUGAGGUCUUUAAUCACAGCUUAUUAAACUAAUCUCCAAAUGUUGUCCAGAGGACAGUACUCCAGUGGCACAGUGCUCCCUGCCAGCUGUUAGGGAACGGUCACAGCGGGCUCAGGCAGAAGCCUGCUGCCCUGUUCAAUUCCUUGGGGCACAGGCAAAUGAGGUGCACGGCGGUGGAUUACGCGUGUGCUAUCUGCAUGACAAAAAUAGCAGCUCUGACCACCCUAAAUACUAAAAGUGUUGCGUCUUUCUGUGUCAUAUGAGAAUUGCUAUGACUGAUAUCCAUUAGGCGAUGGAGUACUGACUGUUUCAGCCUCUUCUCUUCCUCGUUAAGCAGCAGUGUGAAUGUGUAACGUGCAGGUGUCACCAAGCCCUCUGGUAACGGAAAUGUCUGUGAGUAACAGGGGUACGAUUACAGUUACAGCGUGUGCAAUGCUACAUAACAGCCUGUUUUUUCACCGUAGAGCGCUUAGGCUCUUACUAAAGCUGCGUAUUUUCCUCCUCUCGCAGAGGUGGGCGGUUGUAUUUGACUCAAUUUGAAUGGGCGUCGAUUUACCAUAGGGGUUGCUGUGUCCAGUCCAAUCGUGACUGAACUGAAAUAUAAAUCUUUGACAUUCAAUUGUGAUUACAGAUGUCAAAUGCUUGUGACUCUCGUCUCCUGUGCAGGUGACUCUCUCCCAGCAUGUCGUAAUCGAAGUAUGAACCCUCUUCAUUUACAAGAUAACCCUGGAAUAGCUUCAAAAUGAUUAACGCCUUUCCUCCCCGCUGUCUCCCCUCUCCUCGCCCAAGUCAUUUCCCAGCAUAAUUUAUGGGGUGAGCGGGAGCCGAUGAAACCGUGGCUGUGAGGACCGACUCUUGAUGCCAGUGCUGAUGCAGAUACCUGUUGAACUGCAGUUUUAGUGCACGCUUGGGGACUUCCCUGCGAGUAGCUUGCGGAGCUGCUUCGGGAGUCCUCGCGGCCAUGCCUUCCUGCUUGUCGCAGGCGUGCUCUGGCGGAGGCGGCGUUCAGCGACGCACUUGACUUUCUCCUGGUAACUUGGUGGUGUUGGCUGCUGUUAAUGCUUCGUUCUUCUGAUGUUGAGCUCUUAAAGAAGCGAUUGGCACCAGUUGUUCAGCAUAAUGGCAAAUAAAGUUCUCUCUUGUCUGGGCACCUCCUCAAUAAA